AACGUAGGACGCAAGCGUUAUCCGGAAUUACUGGGCGUAAAGCGCGUGUAGGCGGGUCUGUAAGUCGGUCGUGAAAGCUCCCGGCUAAACUGGGAGAGGUCGAUGGAAGCUACAGGUCUGGAGUGUGGCAGAGGAAUGUGGAAUUCCGCGUGUAGUGGUGAAAUGCGUAGAGAUGCGGAGGAACACCAGUGGCGAAGGCGGCAUGCUGGGCGUCAACUGACGCUGAGACUCGAAAGCAUGGGUAGCGAACGGG
rnacentral:rRNA from 1 species